GCCGCCAUGGUGAAAUUGGUAGACACGCUGCUCUCAGAAAGCAGUGCGAGAGCAUCUCGGUUCGAGUCCGAGUGGCGGCA
rnacentral:tRNA from 1 species